rnacentral:rRNA from 1 species
CCUUUGGUGACGCGGAGGGACAUUACCGAGUUUACAACUUCCCAAACCCAAUGUGAACCAUACCAAACUUGUUGCCUCGGCGGGGUCACGCCCCGGGUGCGUCGCAGCCCCGGAACCAGGCGCCCGCCGGAGGGACCAACCAAACUCUUUUCUGUAGUCCCCUCGCGGACGUUAUUUCUUACAGCUCUGAGCAAAAAUUCAAAAUGAAUCAAAACUUUCAACAACGGAUCUCUUGGUUCUGGCAUCGAUGAAGAACGCAGCGAAAUGCGAUAAGUAAUGUGAAUUGCAGAAUUCAGUGAAUCAUCGAAUCUUUGAACGCACAUUGCGCCCGCCAGUAUUCUGGCGGGCAUGCCUGUCCGAGCGUCAUUUCAACCCUCGAACCCCUCCGGGGGGUCGGCGUUGGGGAUCGGGAACCCCUAAGACGGGAUCCCGGCCCCGAAAUACAGUGGCGGUCUCGCCGCAGCCUCUCCUGCGCAGUAGUUUGCACAACUCGCACCGGGAGCGCGGCGCGUCCACGUCCGUAAAACACCCAACUUCUGAAAUGUUGACCUCGGAUCAGGUAGGAAUACCCGCUGAACUUAAGCAUAUCUGGGUUUUUUUUUCCCUGCAGGGAAAAAACGAAACCUGUUUUCCGGGGCCCGGGAUACCGUCCAU